UUAUCUGCAACAAUCUAAUUCAAAAGUCAUAAAUGUAAUAACAUAUAUAAUAUCUUUGUAUAUACAAAUAUAUUCGGAGUCUUUCUUGGAUUCAAAGGUCACAAAUGCAAUAACAUUUAUAAAAUUUUUACGGACACAAAUAUAUUUGAACUCAUUCUUUGCAUGAAUGAUCUGGUAAAACUCCUUUAUAUAUGUCAGCUCUCAGUUGUACUUGUUUAUUUGUAAAAUAUUCAAUCCGCAUUUGUGAGAUUUCCCUAUAACUCAAAUCUGUGGAAACUUCAUAUUCUUUAGCAGAACCUGUAAAAUCAUAAACAUAAUGUUAAUUGAAGAAACCAAAAAAAGAAAAGAAAAAGAAAUAACAUUGUUAAAUGUAGAAUGAAAAGUUACCUCGACAAAUAUUUGUACAAUCUCGCUGUGAAUGAUAUAUAAUAUUUGCAUCCAUUGUAGGAAUCCU
rnacentral:lncRNA from 1 species